rnacentral:rRNA from 1 species
GGAUCCCAUCAGAACUCCGCAGUUAAGCGUGCUUGGGCGAGAGUAGUACUAGGAUGGGUGACCUCCCGGGAAGUCCUCGUGUUGCACCCCUUUUUAUUUUUUUAUUUUUUUUAGCCUAAAACGAGUUUAAACUUGGAAACCUCAUAACUUUUGAACCGUGAGGACCUACGUCGCCCAUAGCACCAUUUCGGAAAGCUCCAGAAACCAUAAUGGGCGGUGAAUAGGCGGGGCCAAUUUUUCGGGCUCAAAUUCAGCCGUUUUUACCCUCAAACGGGCUGCGGAAAGUUUUGGCACGCAAAAAAGAUCGAAAGCGGAUUCUCAGGGUGUUUUUGAUGCUUUCUGAACGCCAUUAACCUCGACGCACUUUUUCGCUCGAAACAAAAUGGCAAGAAAAUCAUGUGGGCCCCACGGCCUUAUACUUGGAUUGGCCGGGAAAAGGAUAUAUAGAAACGAGAGUGAUGUAUUGACGGGUGCGAUCAUACCAGCACUAAUGCACC